UAUUUAAUAUUGUCAUUACAGUUAUUAAUCCGUCAUUUUCUAUUUGUUGCCUUCUUUUGCACCUUGUAUCAUUGAUGAUCACAGUUAGCAUAGCAUCACAAAAAAUAAACAAGUCUUCUACUCUAGAAGGUACUUAUCUUGUCUCAUUCAUUAAUUCACAUUCAUUUUGCUUCUUGAUUACUAGUAUUAACAUGAGUACUUCUUUGAUUGACACAUAAAACUUGUCUUGAAAGUACUGAAGAUUCUAAUGUACAUAUGAUAUUUGUUGGAUCGCUAAUAAGCAAUAAUUUUUAAAUAAAGUCUUUGAGCCUUAACAAGUGUAAAUGAAUAUGUGUUUUCCUUUUUUUUCUUCCUUUUUUACUUGCAUCAACUUGCGUUGAACAUUGCAAGUGAUCCAGUUUUCAUUCCAGUUCCUGAUAACUCUGCCAAUAAGAGGAGGUUUACUCUGUCUUGCCCUUAGAAACUAUGCUCAUGUUCCGUUUAUGAAGUGUCUCUAAUGUUGUGGACGUGAUUGAGAAUUAGUGAUUGCUGAUAAGGAGGUCUAGUGUAGCUUGAAUCAAAUAAUUCCCUGCUCUUACUUAUCCAUAAUAAGUGCCAAUAAGAGGGAUAGCUUCAUAACUCACAGGGCAUUUUGUAAUCCAUUGGCAGAAGAAACAGCUCAAAAUUAGAAGCAAUUCAUCUCAGAAACAGCUCAGAAAAAGCUUCAUCUCUUACCAGUUUUUUCUAUUGUUUUUCAACAAGCGCUUGUUGAGGUUUUCUGUGUAGUUUUCUGUGUGUAUAGAAAGGAAAUAGUACCACUACAGACCAUCAGAACUAUGUCUGUACAUAGAUAUAUGAGGUAACACUAUCUCUCUUCUCCUAUUCAGUUACUUGAUCGAUCUCUUUCUUAUCUUAGUUUCAUUUUAAUCUUUUCUCUUGUAAAGAUAAUCUCUCUUUUUCAAUUCUCAAGUUAGUUUGGGCAUAAUGUCCAGCUUUUGCUUUAACACCCUUUACGAUCACUGAGGUUGUCCAUGAGUCCAAGCUCCCAAUCAAGUUGUGUCACAUCCUCACAACAAGCAUCACAUGCUGUCAUGAGCACUACAAAGAAGAGGGUGCAUGACGAAAUGGUGGAGCAGAACCAGAAGCAAAUUACUCAGAAAAUCCAUUGAUACCUUUGGCUAGAGAACAUCUCAAUAUAGAGGUGUUACAAGGGUAUUGUGAGGCUCAAACCCUGCUUGGACUUUCUUUCCGAGGUUGGCCCUUACAAGAUUAUGGAUGGAAUAUUGUGGCCAAUUUUAGAGGUAGUAAUGUCCGUAUUGGAGGAGAUGAACUUGUCAGAGGACACUAUAAUAAAGAGACAAAGAACUGUGUAAGGGCUUGCUAUUUAUACUGCUUGAAGUCAUGUAUCAAGUACCUUGAGAAGGAAUACAGAGCUCUUUGUAAAGUAUAGCAUCUUUUGUUUUUUCUAAAAUUAGCUUUACUGUUUACUUUCAUUCAGAGUUUAUAUGUUUACUUAUUCUGGUGAAUUAAAACUAUAUGCUUGCAUGUUUGUAUCAUUUCAUUUGUUCCCUUUCAGACUUUUAUUUCUUCUUGAAUUUUGUGCAUCUCGAAUGGAUAAUUU